AAGACUAUCCUGAAGAUUAGUGAAUCGAGCAGUCCAAUUCAAAUCUCUCAAAAUCUUUGUUGGAUCACUAUAAACCUCUGCGUAAUCUCCUGGCCGUCGGGGCAGUAAAUCUACUUUAAUCUCAACUCCUGUCGCCUUCUUACACGCCUCCACAAAUUCCUUAACUGAUCUUCCUGUUUAGCCAAACAAACAAACAAACUGUAACUACUAUCUCGUGUAAUGAAACCAAUUUAUGAUACCGACUUUAUGAGGCUGAGCUUUCUCAAGAGCCUUUACGUGAGCAUCCACGAGUCCGGGAAUGAAACCGCGAGCGGCAUCAAAACAAGCACCGGAGAUACGUCCCUGGUCACGAAGUUCGGGUCUUGGAGCUUCUCCUAAUCUACCUCCUGGAUCUGAACCAAUCACAUUGAAGUAUCUGCAAGUUCAGAGAUUCAUAAACAUUUGCAUAAUUGUUUCAUUGAUCAUAGAGUAACAAAAAAAGGCUAAAGAAUAUGCUCAAUGAACCUAACCUCAAGAUCAUAACAGCCAUGUCAGAGUUCUUAGAGAAAUCCAAGAUCAUGUCCUCUGCCAUCUUUUUAGCUUUCCCGUAAGGAUUAAUCGGAACCUAAAUCAAAUAUUUUCAUUAGAAGAAUGAGACAAAUGAAUUUGUAAUGAAUUAAUGAUCUUAAUUUUACCUGCGGGGUAUCUUCAGUAA